rnacentral:rRNA from 1 species
GAGCGGCGAACGGGUGAGUAACACGUGAGUAACCUGCCCUAGGCUUUGGGAUAACCCUCGGAAACGGGGGCUAAUACCGGAUAUGACUUCCUGCCGCAUGGUGGGGGGUGGAAAGUUUUUUCGGCUUGGGAUGGACUCGCGGCCUAUCAGCUUGUUGGUGGGGUAAUGGCCUACCAAGGCGACGACGGGUAGCCGGCCUGAGAGGGCGACCGGCCACACUGGGACUGAGACACGGCCCAGACUCCUACGGGAGGCAGCAGUGGGGAAUAUUGCACAAUGGGCGGAAGCCUGAUGCAGCGACGCCGCGUGAGGGAUGACGGCCUUCGGGUUGUAAACCUCUUUCAGCAGGGACGAAGCGUGAGUGACGGUACCUGCAGAAGAAGCACCGGCCAACUACGUGCCAGCAGCCGCGGUAAGACGUAGGGUGCGAGCGUUGUCCGGAUUUAUUGGGCGUAAAGAGCUCGUAGGCGGCUUGUCGCGUCGACUGUGAAAUCCCGCGGCUCAACUGCGGGCUUGCAGCCGAUACGGGCAGGCCUAGAGUUCGGUAGGGGAGACUGGAAUUCCU